rnacentral:rRNA from 1 species
UCCUGGCUCAGAUUGAACGCUGGCGGCAUGCCUUACACAUGCAGGUCGAACGGCAGCACGAGGCAACCAUGGUGGCGAGUGGCGAACGGGUGAGUAAUAUAUCGGAACGUGCCCUGGAUGGGGGAUAACUAGUCGAAAGACUAGCUAAUACCGCAUACGAUCUAAGGAUGAAAUGGGGGAUCGCAAGACCUCAUGCUCGUGGAGCGGCCGAUAUCUGAUUAGCUAGUUGGUAGGGUAAAAGCCUACCAAGGCAUCGAUCAGUAGCUGGUCUGAGAGGACGACCAGCCACACUGGGACUGAGACACGGCCCAGACUCCUACGGGAGGCAGCAGUGGGGAAUUUUGGACAAUGGGGGCAACCCUGAUCCAGCAAUGCCGCGUGAGUGAAGAAGGCCUUCGGGUUGUAAAGCUCUUUUGUCAGGGAAGAAACGGUCCGGGCUAAUAUCCUGGGCUAAUGACGGUACCUGAAGAAUAAGCACCGGCUAACUACGUG